AGAGUAUGUAUCAAAAAUAGACCCACAUAGAUUGCACAUCCGAUUUGGAUCACCAAGGGCUGCAGACAAGUUCUGAUCUUUGUGGAUCUUUAAAUGUCUUUUGAGGCCUUCAUUAGAUUUGCAAACCU